AUUGAACGCUGGCGGCAUGCCUUACACAUGCAAGUCGAACGGCAGCACGGGAGCAAUCCUGGUGGCGAGUGGCGAACGGGUGAGUAAUAUAUCGGAACGUGCCCAGUCGUGGGGGAUAACGCAGCGAAAGCUGUGCUAAUACCGCAUACGAACUAAGGAUGAAAGCGGGGGAUCGCAAGACCUCGCGCGAUUGGAGCGGCCGAUAUCAGAUUAGCUAGUUGGUGGGGUAAAGGCCUACCAAGGCAACGAUCUGUAGUUGGUCUGAGAGGACGACCAGCCACACUGGGACUGAGACACGGCCCAGACUCCUACGGGAGGCAGCAGUGGGGAAUUUUGGACAAUGGGCGCAAGCCUGAUCCAGCAAUGCCGCGUGCAGGAAGAAGGCCUUCGGGUUGUAAACUGCUUUUGUCAGGGAAGAAAUCCUCUAGGUUAAUACCCUUGGGGGGAUGACGGUACCUGAAGAAUAAGCACCGGCUAACUACGUGCCAGCCGCCGCCGUAACAC
rnacentral:rRNA from 1 species